UACGUAGGGUGCAAGCGUUGUCCGGAAUUAUUGGGCGUAAAGAGCUCGUAGGCGGUUUGUCGCGUCUGCUGUGAAAACCCGGGGCUUAACUCCGGGCCUGCAGUGGGUACGGGCAGACUAGAGUGCGGUAGGGGAGACUGGAAUUCCUGGUGUAGCGGUGAAAUGCGCAGAUAUCAGGAGGAACACCGAUGGCGAAGGCGGGUCUCUGGGCCGUAACUGACGCUGAGGAGCGAAAGCGUGGGGAGCGAACAGG
rnacentral:rRNA from 1 species